rnacentral:lncRNA from 1 species
CUCCGCCGCUGAUGAAAUCACCUCCACCACCAGCACCAGUGGCCUCUCCACCCCAACCGUUGAAAUCUCCACCACCGCCAGUACUGGUGGCCUCUCCACCUCCAUCGGUGAAAUCUCCACCACCGCCGGUACCAGUGGCCUCUCCACCUCCACCGGUGAAAUCUCCACCACCGCUGGCUCCAGUGAGCUCACCUUCUCCUCCGGUGAAGUUGCCACCACUACCAGCUCCUGGGAAAUCAACCCCACCUCCAGAAGAGGAAAAACCAACACCACCUACUCCAGUAAAGUCAUCGCCGCCUCCAGAGAAGUCUCUACCUCCACCCACUCUGACUACCUCUCCACCACCACAAGAGAAGCCUACUCCUCCAUCAACUCCAUCCAAACCACCACCAUCUCCAGUUGAGACACUACCUCCUCCAUCAAAGUCUUCUCCACCGGAAGAACCAGUUAGCUCACCACCUCAAGCACCAAAGUCGUCAUCUCCACCAGCUCCUGUAAGCUCACCACCUCCACUGAAGUCUUCUCCGCCUCCAGUACCAGAGAGCUCACCACCACCGACACCUAAGUCAUCACCUCCACUGGCUCCAGUGAGCUCACCACCUCAAGUGGAGAAGACUUCUCCACCACCAGCACCAGUCAGCUCACCACCACCGACACCUAAGUCAUCACCUCCACUAGCUCCAGUGAGCUCACCACCUCAAGUAGAGAAGACUUCUCCACCACCAGCACCAGUCAGCUCACCACCACCAACACCUAAGUCAUCACCUCCACUAGCUCCAGUGAGCUCACCACCUCAAGUAGAGAAGACUUCUCCACCACCAGCACCAGUCAGCUCACCACCAUUGGAGCCUAAGCCAUCAUCUCCACCUAGUUCUGUGAGCUCUCCACCUACGACGGUGAAGUCUUCUCCACCACCAGCACCACUUAGCUCGCCACCAAUGACGCCUAAGUCAUCAAGCCCACCUGCACACGUGAGCUCGCCUCCUGAAGCAGAGAAGUCAUCCCCGCCACUGGCACCGAUCAGCUCA